rfam:Heligmosomoides polygyrus genome assembly, scaffold: HPBE_scaffold0000563
GCGCCGGUGGUGUAAUGGCGUAGAGCAUUCCCGCCCGGUUAGAGGGAGGUGCGGGUUCGACUCCCGCCUGGCGCU